UUCUUGGUGGUCCAGUGGUUAAGACUCUGCACUUCUAAUGCAGGGGGCAUGGGUUCAAUCCCUGGUCAAGGAA
rnacentral:tRNA from 1 species